UCAUGUACCUAACAAGGCAAACCUGAAGAGUGAAGGCUGCUCAAGCUAAUAAGAAUUAAGAUGAAAGCCUUUACUUAUGUUCUCAUCGUUCUCUUUAUUUUUUCCAGUGCCAUCGGAAAUGAAAGACUAUCGAAAGUAACAGCAGAGGUUAGCUACUGCAAAACAACAUUCCCUCAUGUAGUUUGUAAAUUAAGUCCGCCGUGCAAUGCUUUUUGCAAAGACACAUAUGGAAGAAUAGCAACUGGAGAUUGCAUUGCCAACAAGUGUAUUUGUGAAUACCCACCUCCUUGUGACAAUUUUUAGUCCUAUCUCUGGAACAUUAGUUUUCCUUUUCCAUAAAUGUGUUUCAAACUUUCAAUAGGGGACAAUGAAUAAAAAGCUUAAAAAUAUUAUAUCAGAA